rnacentral:rRNA from 1 species
UACGUAGGGUGCGAGCGUGAAUCGGAAUUACUGGGCGUAAAGUGUGCGCAGGCGGCGUCGCAAGUCGAGUGUGAAAGCCCCGAGCUUAACUUGGGAAUUGCGCUCGAAACUACGAUGCUGGAGUGUGGCAGAGGAAGGUGGAAUUCCACGUGUAGCGGUGAAAUGCGUAGAGAUGUGGAGGAACACCGAUGGCGAAGGCAGCCUUCUGGGCCAACACUGACGCUCAUGCACGAAAGCGUGGGGAGCAAACAGG